rnacentral:lncRNA from 1 species
UUCAAUUAUGUAAGAUGGUUCUUUUGGGCAGAUUAAUAGAUUGUUUAGAGAAUGAAAACUUCAAACGUCAGUUUUAAUAUCUAAAAUGGAAUUUUUACAUUGGGACGUCAAAUGUAGAGUUCGUUUGAUUCGAUUUCGAGUGAACUCAAAAACAAAAUGUAGGUUUUUCCUUUCGACAAAGCUAAUAUAUUAAAAAGAGUUUACAAGGUACUAUUAAAAAGAGUUCUCAAGAGCCGCCGGCACUAUUUAAGACCUUUGAAAUACUACUGUAUUUGCUAGUUUCUCACUUUUAGGAAGCUAAUAAAUGAACAUUGGGAGUCAAACUUAUAACUUCACGUCUUAUAAAGUCUAGGCAAUGAACUCUAGACAAUUGCUUUAAACAAAUUCAAAAGUAAUACGUUUCCUUAAGUACUGGGUAAUCAUAAUUUUCUUAGGGAAAAUUGUUUUUUUAGAGCAAAAAAAUGGUAACUAUGUCUUUUUAUACUAAUCUAUACUACUUUAUGUCCCAUUAGACUAAUUUUUUUCAAAAUGGCAGUAAUGCCCUUAAAAUUGUAAUUUUUAUUCUUUUUUUCUUUUUUUUUGUUUUUUUUGUUCCUUUUUCGUUUUUUUUUUUUUUUAAAAUCGAUUUUUUUUUCAAAAUAUAAAAGUGAAUAUUCCCAAAUAUUUUGUUUCCAUAUUUUUAGGAACUGAUUUCUUAUCCGUAGAAUACAACUAAUAUGUAGAAAUCGGUUUCUACAGUUUUUUAGAAUUAUAGUAAUGUUUAGAUUUUGAUGUCUACAUGUUUUAGAUUUAUAGUAAAUCUGUAGAAGUCGGUUUCUACGUGUUUUAGAUUUAUAUUAAUGUGUAGAUUUUGAUUUCUAAAGAUUUUAGAACGAUAGGUUAAGCGCGGAAUGUGUAUUCUAAAUAUUUUUAGAAUACUCCUAUUUACGUAGAUCACGUAUUCUAAACAUUGUAGAUUCAAUGAAAAAAGUGGAUUUUGUUUUCUACUUCGUAGAAUGUCAUUUCUACUUUAUUUAGAACAUAAUAUGAAAUUUAUAAUUUUAACUUUUUUAUAACUGGAAAAAAUAUCACUAAGUUCAUAUA